AGGAAACAACCAGAAGUCAGCCUUCUGCAGCCUGCCCGAGGGCUCCACCAGAAGCUGACCAUGCGGCCACCAGGACCUCGGACUGCUGGCUCCCAGCACUGAAGCUAUGUGCCCAGCAGUAAGUCAGAGGUUUCAUAUGAAGGAGUAAGGCGAAAACAACUGUGACAGGACAGCGAGCUUUCUCUGCUGUAUCUCCACAAAAGGGGAGCCUGGCUGAGAGUAAAGCCUGUCCAGAAGGAGCAGUGUUGGAAGAUGAAAAUCAACCAGUCUUCCCCCAGUGAUGUCUUUGCACCACUGAAGCCAAACUACCCUGCUCCUGAAGGGCAUAAUAAGCAGUUGCUACCAGCCUGAUGCAAUUAUGCCUGGGAGCACCAUGGGGACUCCUAAAACUUCUGAAGCCCAAGGUCAAAUUCUACACAUGUCCAGACUCUCUGUCUACCAUGCCCUCUGCUCCUGGUGGCUGACCUGGAUGGGUGACACCCACAUUGUCCCCACCCUCUGCCUGCUGGCUGGGGUUGUUCAAUGGCGAGG